GAACACGGACCAAGGAGUCUAACAUAUGUGCAAGUAAUUGGGUAAAUUAAAUUAAAAUGAAAACCCAAAGGCGAAAUUAACUUGACUAAUAUAUAUAUUAUAUUGAUAUAGAUACUAAUCUAUUUAAUAUGGAUAUAUAUAUAAUGGGAUUAAUUUUUAGAUUUGAUAGAAAGUCUAUUUAGAUUUAAUAUCAGUCUAUUAAUUCAAUCCCAGGGCGUUCUAUUAUAAGUUUAAUGUAUAAUAUAAUUUUGUAAUGAAAUUAUAUAUACCUCUAAACUAGAACGUACCUUGAGCAUAUAUUAUGUGACCCGAAAGAUGGUGAACUAUACUUGAUCAGGUUGAAGUCAGGGGAAACCCUGAUGGAAGACCGAAACAGUUCUGACGUGCAAAUCGAUUGUCAGAAUUAAGUAUAGGGGUGAAAGGCCAAUCGAACUAUCUAGUAGCUGGUUCCAUCCGAAGUUUCCCUCAGGAUAGCUGGAACAUACAAAAUUUAUAUAAAUAAUCUUAUCUGGUAAAGCGAAUGAUUAGAGGCAUUAGGGUCGAAACGACCUUAACCUAUUCUCAAACUUUAAAUGGGUAAAAACUUCACCUUUCUUGAUGUGAAGGUUGAAGAUGAUGAUGAUAUAAAUGUGCCUAGUGGGCCAUUUUUGGUAAGCAGAACUGGCGCUGUGGGCUGAACCAAACGUAAUGUUAUGGUGCCCAAAUUUACAACUCAUGCAGAUACCAUGAAAGGCGUUGGUUGCUUAAAACAGCAGGACGGUGUGCAUGGAAGUCGUAAUCCGCUAAGGAGUGUGUAACAACUCACCUGCCGAAGCAACUAGCCCUUAAAAUGGAUGGCGCUUAAGUUGUAUACCUACACAUUACCGCUAAAGUAGAUGAUUUUUUUCGAAUUUAUUUACAUAUUUUUUAUGUAUUAAAUGAGAAAAGAAUUUUGAAACUUUAGUGAGUAGGAUGGUACUAUAGUGUGCUUAGAAGUGUUUGGCGUAAGCCUGCAUGGAGCCGCUAUUGGUACAGAUCUUGGUGGUAGUAGCAAAUAAUCGAAUGAGACCUUGGAGGACUGAAGUGGAGAAGGGUUUCGUAUGAACAGUGGUUGAUUACGAGUUAGUCGGUCCUAAGUUUAAGGCAAAAGCCGAAAAUUUUCAAGUUCUUUAAUAAAAUAUAUAUAUUAUAUAUGUAUAUAAAAGACUUGAUAAUUUGAACGAAAGGGAAUACGGUUCCAAUUCCGUAACCUGUUAAGUAUCCGUUUGUUAUUAAAAAUGGGCCCCGUGCUCAUCCUGGUAACAGGAACGACCAUAAAGAAGCCGUCGAGAGAUAACGGAAGAGUUUUCUUUUCUGUUUUAUAGUCGUACUACCAUGGAAGUCUUUCGAAGAGAGAUAUGGUAGAUGGACUAGAAGAGCAUGACAUUUACUGUUGUGUCGUUAUUUUCUCCUCGGACCUUGAAAAUUUAUGGUGGGGUCACGCAAACUUCUUAACAGACCGUACCGAUAUCCGCAGCUGGUCUCCAAGGUGAAGAGUCUCUAGUCGAUAGAAUAAUGUAGGUAAGGGAAGUCGGCAAAUUAGAUCCGUAACUUCGGAAUAAGGAUUGGCUCUGAAGAUUGAGAUAAUCGGGCUUGAUUGGGAAGCAAUAAUAUGGUUUUAUAUGCUCGUUCUGGGUAAAUAGAGAUUUUUUGCGAAUCUUGUUCCCCGGAUAGUAGUUAUGUAGCCAAUUGUGGAACUUUCUUGCUAAAAUUUUUAAUCAUUUAUCAUAUGAUAUUAUGAUUUAAAAAUUAUAACGAUUAUCAAUUAACAAUCAAUUCAGAACUGGCACGGACCUGUUGAAUCCGACUGUCUAAUUAAAACAAAGCAUUGUGAUGGCCCUAACGGGUGUUGACACAAUGUGAUUUCUGCCCAGUGCUCUGAAUGUCAAAGUGAAGAAAUUCAAGUAAGCGCGGGUCAACGGCGGGAGUAACUAUGACUCUCUUAAGGUAGCCAAAUGCCUCGUCAUCUAAUUAGUGACGCGCAUGAAUGGAUUAACGAGAUUCAAACCGUCCCUAUUUACUAUCUAGCGAAACCACAGCCAAGGGAACGGGCUUGGAAUAAUUAGCGGGGAAAGAAGACCCUUUUGAGCUUGACUCUAGUCUGGCUCUGUAAGGAGACAUAAGAGGUGUAGAAUAAGUGGGAGAUAAAUGAUUAACAAUAAAAUGUUGUUAUUUAUCAUCAAUGAAAUACCACUACUCUUAUUGUUUCCUUACUUACUUGAUGAAAUGGAACGUGUAACAGAUUCUAGCCAUUAUACGGAUAUAUUUAUUAUAAUUAUAUCUUAUGGUAUUGGAAUUUGUUGCAAGAUUAUUGAACAAAGUAUCACGAGUUAGUUAUAUAAUUGUAAACGGAUACAAAUUGAAGUGUUUUAACAUAUAUAAAUUUUAUAUGUUAUGCAUGAAGAUGGAAAUCUGGUAUAACACCAACCACUCAGAUAUGAUCCAAUUCAAGGACAAAUUCAGGUAGGGUGUUCGGCUGGGGCGGUACAUCUUUCAAAUAAUAACGAAGGUGUCCCAAGGCCAGCUCAGUGCGGACAGAAAUCACACAUAGAGCAAAAGGGCAAAUGCUGACUUGAUCUCGAUGUUCAGUACACACAGAGACAGCAAAAGCUCGGCCUAUCGAUCCUUUUGGUUAAAGAGUUUUUAACAAGAGGUGUCAGAAAAGUUACCAUAGGGAUAACUGGCUUGUGGCGGCCAAGCGUUCAUAGCGACGUUGCUUUUUGAUCCUUCGAUGUCGGCUCUUCCUAUCAUUGUGAAGCAGAAUUCACCAAGCGUUGGAUUGUUCACCCAUGCAAGGGAACGUGAGCUGGGUUUAGACCGUCGUGAGACAGGUUAGUUUUACCCUACUAAUGACGAAAAAUUAUUACAACAGCAUUCCUGCGUAGUACGAGAGGAACCGCAGGUACGGACCAAUGGUACAAUACUUGUUCGAGCGAACAGUGGUAUGAUGCUACGUCCGUUGGAUUAUGCCUGAACGCCUCUAAGGUCGUAUCCGUGCUGGAUUGUAAUAAUAAAAAUGGGGCGAUUGCAUUGUAUAGCAUUUAUAUAAUUUCAAGUUUAUAUUUGUGUAAAAGCAAUGAUAUAAACGACGAAUUUAAUAUGAUGCUAAUGUUAUUGGUAAUAAAGCAAUUUCAUGGUGGAUAUAUGAUCACUUGAAUAUUACGCUAAUUACUAAUAAUAACAUUAUUACAUACAAUGGCAAUGCCUAGAAUCAAUUGUAAACGAC
rnacentral:rRNA from 1 species